GACGAACGCUGGCGGCGUGCUUAACACAUGCAAGUCGAACGAACAGGCCCUGCUUUUGUGGGUUUCUCGUGUGGCGCGCGGGUGAGUAACACAUGUGUAUCCUGCCCUUAUAUUUGUGAUAUCUUCUGGAAAAUCGGGAUCUUACCGGGUAUGAGCUCCUGAUGCGUAUUGUGGGAUGGAAAGUUUCGGCUGUUGGGGAUGGACUCGAGGCUUAUCCGCUUGCUUGUGGAGUAGUGGCUUACCAAGGCUUUGACGGGUAGCCUGCCUGGGAGGGUGACCAGCGACAUUGGGACUGAGAUACGGCGCAGACGCCUACGUGAGGCAGCAGUGGGGAAUAUGGCGGAAUGGGCGGAAGCCUGAGGCAGCAACGCUGCGUGCGUGAUGACGGCCUUUGGGGGGUAAACCGCUGUCUCCGUUGACGAAGCGGGAGUGACGGUAACGGGUAAAGAAGCACCGGCUAACUACGUG
rnacentral:rRNA from 1 species